GCGCUCAUAGCUCAGCUGGAUAGAGCACUGCCCUCCGGAGGCAGGGGUCGGGAGUUCGAAUCUUCUUGAGCGCGCCA
rnacentral:tRNA from 1 species